rnacentral:rRNA from 1 species
ACGUAGGGUGCAAGCGUUAAUCGGAAUUACUGGGCGUAAAGCGUGCGCAGGCGGUUAUGCAAGACAGAUGUGAAAUCCCCGGGCUUAACCUGGGAACUGCAUUUGUGACUGCAAGGCUAGAGUACGGCAGAGGGGGGUAGAAUUCCACGUGUAGCAGUGAAAUGCGUAGAUAUGUGGAGGAAUACCGAUGGCGAAGGCAGCCCCCUGGGUCGAUACUGACGCUCAUGCACGAAAGCGUGGGGAGCAAACAGGAUUAGAUACCCUGGUAGUCCACGCCCUAAACGAUGUCAACUAGGUGUU